UCCAUUUACAGAAUUCCCAAAAUUUGAAAUUAGAAUCAUACGAUCCAGGGCAUUAUAAUUCCCAAAUUCCCAAAAUCAUCUGAAAUUCCAAAUUCCCAAAAUCUCAAAUUAAAAUAUGAAAUUAGAAUCAUACGUCUGAGUUGUCUCCAGCCUCCGCCCUUCUACGUUCCCGCCGCCCGCUUCAUACACCGGUCGAAGUGGAUGAACAUAGUGGAACACUUGAACUUCGAAGUCUACAAAAGCGCCUGCUGCCCUGCUCGUUCCGUCAUUCCUCUGUGAGACUGUGAUUGUAAGUGGCAUGUAUUUUGUGGUUUUAAUAGGCAAUGUGAUUUGAGUGUUAAAUAAUACAGAGCUAUAAAUUUUGACUAUCGGGUGGGUUAUGUUGUAGAAUGCAUAUAUAAUGGAAAUUUUUCUUUUGAAUUCAUUGUUUGUGAAAUUAUUAUGCUUGUGGCCCCAUUAUCUAUUUACCUUUGAGAAGUUCCACAAAAUUAUUGGUGUCAUACUGUUAUGCUUGAGCUUGCCAUAUAUUGAUUCUCAAACUGACUAUUAAUUAUCCUUAAUUUAUAGGAUUUUAUCUAAUUUAUAAUACUACUGGAUAAUUGUGGAAAUCAUUUAAGCUGCGCAAAAUUCUCUGCUGGUCAAAUUAUCCUGUUUGGAAUGUAUCAUUUGUUACUGCUAAUAUCUUUGUUUUGACAUUAAGUUGUUAACCAUUACUUUGCCUUUGUUUGAGAUUGAUUAUAAAUUUUUAGGUGGAAUCGUGGUGGAGACCACAAAAUAUGUGGAUAAUAAUUCUCAAGGACGUAAUUCUAUAAUCUUUGUCAAAAUUUCACUUUUCAAGAAAGCAAUGGUUUGCCCUAACUUGUUAUUGAAGAGACUGAAAAUGUUUGAAGCAUUGUCGGCUUAUAUAACUGCAGCCUGGCCGACUUAUAUGAUUACAUAUUAUAGGAUAAACAAUUGCACAGGUGCACAUGGUGACUAUAUUGAAAACUGUAAUUGUGAGAUGAUUGAGAUAUUUUUUAAGUUGGCAAUGGGUGUAAUACUUUAAUUAAUUCAAAGGAAAAGUCGAACAAAAAAAAAUAAAAAUAAAACGGCAUGCGGCUAUGCCCAAACAUAAUACACACACCAAGAAAGCUCUCGAGCAGGAAGAGAAAGAGAAAGGAAAAAGAAGAAAAGAGGAAGAAGAAAAAGGGAAAUUCGCCAACGUGUUAGAAAUUAAGUGAGUUAUACUAUUAGGCUUGAAAUUCUCAAUUUUGAAAGGUAAGUAAAAGUUACUUAUUGAAAUGUUAUGUUUGAUUUUAUAGUUUUUAAGUUGUUAGAUUAAAUUCAAUUUUAUUGAAGGGGUUAAGUAUAAUAAACUAUGAAAUUGAGUAAAAUGAAAGAAAAAUUAGUUCUAGUAAUUAAAGAGGCUUUAGAAAUCGCCUAAACGUGAAAUAAUUAAGUUUAGGUAUCGUCUAUUUAAUUAUUGAAAUUAUUUAAAUUAAUUAAUUGUUGAUUUAAAAAUUAUAUUAUAUUUCAGGUGGUGAUACAGAUAUCGGGAUAACGUAUCAAUCGAGUUGAUUUUGGCGUAUAUAGUUUUGUGAGUGGAAAAAUAUAAAUAUUUUUAAAAUAUUUAUGAAUUAAGUAAAUUAUCAAAAUAUGUGCAAUUAUAUGUUCGAUUAUAUGAUUAUUAUAAAUUUAUUAUGAUACAUGUGGAAUUUCAAGGAUUAUUUAAUGUAUAUUUGUGAUUUGGUAUAUGAGACACGUGAUAUUGAGAUCGGCCAAAAAAGUACCCAUGAUUAUAUACUUCUUCUAAUUCACAAAGGGACAUUGGCAGUGUUCUAUCCUACACGGAGGGUCUUGACCUGACAUUGGUCUUACAUAUAGUUCACAAAGGGGCUUUGACCGUGUUCUAUAAUUGAUUAUGAGAAAUUUUUGAGACCGACUUUCAUUCACGGAAGGGGCCAAAGGCCCGUGGCGAAAGUUCUUAACCCAAGAUGUGGAUUACAUAUUUCAAUCAAUGGUACAUUUUUUGUGGAUUUUUUAGCACGUUUGAUGUGAUGAGAUUAUAGCAUAGUUAUCAGCUGAUGUUAUAUCAUGAUUUUAAGAUGAUAUUUUAUGACCUUAUGUGAAUAUUUCACUUUUUGGCUAUAAUUACAUGAUGGUAGCUUGUGAAUUAUCAAAUGAUAUAAAUUUGAUUUUCAAUAAAAAUGUAUAAAUAAAAAAGUAUAUUUAUUUUGAACUUCUUCACUCACUGAUCUAUCAACUCAUAUUUUUCCAUGUUUUUCCUUAUCAGAUAGCAGUUGAGAAUCUGGGCAUCUUUUGAAGUUGAGCCUUGAUUUUGGAGUUAAAGCCAUACGACAGAGUUUGUUAGUAUGACUCACUUCAUAGAACAUGUAGUCAGUGUUUUGGGACGCAUGUUCAUGUUUAGAUGUGAUUUUGUAUCACUUGUAAAUAGUUAUGGGGCUCACUAUGUAUUUUGUAUCCAUAUGUAUAUUUCAUUUUAUUUUUUGGUAAAGGUUGAGAUUUCAGCUUAUCGUUAUUGUGUUGUGCUAUAGUUU
rnacentral:lncRNA from 1 species